CGCCCGUCGCUCCUACCGAUUGAGUGAUCAGGUGAACCUUCUGGACUGCGUCUGGACUUGAGCCAGAUGCGGGAAGUUAUGUAAACCUUAUUACUUAGAGGAAGGAUAAGUCGUAACAAGGUUUCC
rnacentral:rRNA from 1 species